rnacentral:lncRNA from 1 species
CAACGGCUUCUAUCAUCCAUCCUUACCGGAGAUUCUUGAAACCCUGAAAUCUGCAUGCAAGAUGCAUAAUCUACCGCUAGCUCAGACAUGGACUCCAUGCAUCCAACAAGGCGGCAAAAGUGGCUGCCGCCACUCAAAUGAAAAACUUGUCUACUGUCNUGAAAACCUUGUCUACUGUCUUUCCACUGUAGAUAUUGCUUCAUACGUAUCCGAUCCUUACUUCAAAGAUUUUCAAGAAGCUUGUUCUGAGCAUCAUUUAUUUAAAGGUCAAGGUGUAGUAGGUCGAGCUUUCACAACCAAU